AAAAGAAAAAAGAUCAGAUCUCCCUUUCUCUUUGAAGACACCAACGGCGCUCCUCUCCUCAGAACGGACAACCUCCCUCCAUGAAAUCUCACCUCUCACCCUCACUCACACAAAAACGUUAUGACUCAAGUUGUUGCUGCUGGUUUGCUGCUGAUUUAUUCAAGUUGUUGCUGAGCUCCAUCUGAAUUUGGCCUUCUCUUAGUGUUUUUCUUGCUUUGAAUAGAUUCGGAAUAGGUUUUCUUGUUCCUCACUGUGUUCCGAAUAGCUUAAAUUAUUGCCAGUUUGCCGCCCUCUGCGGGCUGCCGCUACAGUCCUGUUCGUCAAUUUCUGCAGCGAUAGCUUUUGCACAGGUACAGAAUGUCUAGGCAUGAGAAUAAUGUUCGCCAGGAUGUUUGUGGCAGCACUAGUCGC